rnacentral:rRNA from 1 species
GCCUGCAGUGGGUACGGGCAGACUAGAGUGCGGUAGGGGAGAUUGGAAUUCCUGGUGUAGCGGUGGAAUGCGCAGAUAUCAGGAGGAACACCGAUGGCGAAGGCAGAUCUCUGGGCCGUAACUGACGCUGAGGAGCGAAAGCAUGGGGAGCGAACAGGAUUAGAUACCCUGGUAGUCCAUGCCGUAAACGUUGGGAACUAGAUGUGGGGGCCAUUCCACGGUCUCCGUGUCGCAGCUAACGCAUUAAGUUCCCCGCCUGGGGAGUACGGCCGCAAGGCUAAAACUCAAAGGAAUUGACGGGGGCCCGCACAAGCGGCGGAGCAUGCGGAUUAAUUCGAUGCAACGCGAAGAACCUUACCAAGGCUUGACAUAUACCGGAAACGUCCAGAGAUGGUCGCCCCGCAAGGUCGGUAUACAGGUGGUGCAUGGUUGUCGUCAGCUCGUGUCGUGAGAUGUUGGGUUAAGUCCCGCAACGAGCGCAACCCUCGUUCUAUGUUGCCAGCACGUUAUGGUGGGAACUCAUAGGAGACUGCCGGGGUCAACUCGGAGGAAGGUGGGGAUGACGUCAAAUCAUCAUGCCCCUUAUGUCUUGGGCUUCACGCAUGCUACAAUGGCCGGUACAAAGGGCUGCGAUACCGUAAGGUGGAGCGAAUCCCAAAAAGCCGGUCUCAGUUCGGAUUGAGGUCUGCAACUCGACCUCAUGAAGUCGGAGUCGCUAGUAAUCGCAGAUCAGCAACGCUGCGGUGAAUACGUUCCCGGGCCUUGUACACACCGCCCGUCAAGUCAUGAAAGUCGGUAACACCCGAAGCCAGUGGCCUAACCCUUGC